UACGAAGGGAGCUAGCGUUGUUCGGAAUCACUGGGCGUAAAGCGCACGUAGGCGGAUGUGUCAGUCAGGGGUGAAAUCCCGGAGCUCAACUUCGGAACUGCCCUUGAUACAGCACGUCUUGAGUCCGAUAGAGGUGGGUGGAAUUCCUAGUGUAGAGGUGAAAUUCGUAGAUAUUAGGAAGAACACCGGUGGCGAAGGCGGCCCACUGGAUCGGUACUGACGCUGAGGUGCGAAAGCGUGGGGAGCAAACAGG
rnacentral:rRNA from 2 species